rnacentral:lncRNA from 1 species
AUCCACGCUAAUUCAAUUUAUGUCAUCAAGCCACCUCAGAUCCAUUUGUUCGUUCGCCCCGGCCGCUUCGAUCGAUUUCUCGCCUCUUCGAUCCCCUCUUCGAUCCCUUGCCUCUUCGAUCCCUUCUCCAUUCCCGCCACUUCAAUCCCUGCCCCGCCGCUUCGGUCCCUCCCCCACUCCCGCCACUUCGAUCUCUACCCUGCCUCCACCCCGCCUCCUCUUCGAUCCCUCCUCCGCCUCUUCCAUCUCUCUCUACGCUUCAUCAUCUCCCUCCUCAAAACCCUAAUAAUCAGAGAG